CACAAGUUUUUUGUAAUCCUGGUCGAUGUGCUGUCGUCGAGAGCGUUACCAUCGCUGCUAUAUACAUCAGUUUAAUUAGCAACACUUUUGAUGGCUACACUGAUUUUAUAGAUUAAAAAAAACUGUAAUAAAUCACCAAACCUUUUAAAAAUUACUUGCCCAUUCUUUCAAAAUACAAAAUACAAAAUUGACUUGAAGAGCCUAUGAUCUGAUUUUUUCAACUUGUACGACCUCUACCUUGUCAUCUUUCUUUUGAUACUUUAUACAUAAUGGCAAACAGAAUGCACAAAUGAAUGCGGAGGUUCAAUUCCUUCUUUUUCUCUCUCACACUUAACACUCAGUAUUUUAGUAAAUCAUGAAGACAAAUCUUUGAUGAAUGCCUGUUCAAACUCUUUAGUAGUGUAUAUAGUCACAGGAUCCAUUAACUCCUAUCACAAAAUGAGUCGUCGCAAAUUGGAAUAAUAAUGAUAUUGUGGUUUUUUUAGUCCAGAGACUUGAAUACAGCCUACAAUUUUGGAUUCUCUGAAGGAGAUCGUUAAUUUAUUAUGACCAAACCCAGAAUAAAACUCUCUAUGCAUUAACAAACUAGCAAAUAAAUGCUUAAUUAAACACACUUACAUAUCCGUGUAUAUGUGUUACAAUAAUCAAAGGAUGAUCAUCGACUACAAAGAUAUAAUAUAAAC